rnacentral:rRNA from 1 species
CCUACGGGGAGCUGCAGUGGGGAAUAUUGGACAAUGGGCGAAAGCCUGAUCCAGCCAUGCCGCGUGUGUGAAGAAGGCCUUCGGGUUGUAAAGCACUUUCAGUGGGGAAGAAAGCCUUGGGGCUAAUACCCUCGAGGAAGGACAUCACCCACAGAAGAAGCACCGGCUAACUCCGUGCCAGCAGCCGCGGUAAUACGGAGGGUGCGAGCGUUAAUCGGAAUUACUGGGCGUAAAGCGCGCGUAGGCGGUCUGAUAAGCCGGUUGUGAAAGCCCCGGGCUCAACCUGGGAACGGCAUCCGGAACUGUCAGGCUAGAGUGCAGGAGAGGAAGGUAGAAUUCCCGGUGUAGCGGUGAAAUGCGUAGAGAUCGGGAGGAAUACCAGUGGCGAAGGCGGCCUUCUGGACUGACACUGACGCUGAGGUGCGAAAGCGUGGGUAGCAAACAGGAUUAGAUACCCGGGUAGUC